CAAAUACUCCCUCCGUCGGAAAAUACUUGUCAUCAAAAUUGACAAAAAGGGAUGCAUCUAGAACGCUAAAAUACAUCUAGAUACAUCCCCAUUUAGUCAUUUUGAUGACAAGUAUUUCCGGACGGAGGGAGUACUAC
rfam:Triticum aestivum genome assembly, contig: Triticum_aestivum_CS42_TGACv1_scaffold_051077_1BS